UCAAACCUCUUUUCUCAGACCUUGAAAUCCUCCAGGGCCUCUCUGCAGGAGAGAAGUCAGAGGUUCUCUGAGAAAGAUGCAAGAGAAACAAACGCCGUGACUCUAAAGUGAAGACUCUGUUUCCAUGCCCUGCCCCAGUGUAGACCGGAGGCAUGACAGACUGAGUGACAGAACAGAUCGCAGGAAUGCAUUCCAUUAUCUUCGGAAUCACAGACCCGUAAAACAUCUGGCUUCCGGGUGCAUCACCAACAUGUGGGCCAGCAACUCAAAUCUGCUUCGUUCUGACGGAAAAGACAGUAUGCUUUUAUGUUUGAAUUGUAUUGUCAAGGUGAUGUGCAGAGGGGUUACAGUUACAAACAUAAGUACCCAAAUAAGAAUAGGAGAGUGAGUAGUGACCCCUUGAGACUGUUGAAGUUAUUCAUUGUCCUCAGAAUCAUGGAUACAUCAAGCAGUGCAAGAAGGUGAACCAACAUUCCACAUCUCUUCACCAAAGAUUGUAGCUGUAAAAUCUGUCUACAAUUCUGCAUGAUGUGAAAAAUGAAAGUAAUUAUGAUUACUAAUGAUGAUUUAAUUGUAUAGUUAAAUGUUUAUUUCUAAAUUUUUCAUGCAAAUAAGUGCAUAAUUAGGAAAACAAGUUACUUGGCCAGUUAAUCAGGUUUCGUUUUAGUCUUGUUGUUUGGGCUAAAAUGUACUCCAGGAUGUCAUCUGUGAUUUGGAAUAUUAAAAAAAAUGCUUAAGGGUGAGCCUUUAGAAAGCAAUGUCCCUACAUUGCCAAGCAUGGAGUGGGAUGUGUUUGAUGGAAAGAAAAGCUUGGAAAACCUGAAACAUGAGAAGAAAUCAGAAGGAGAGACGAUUUGAGGCGUAGAAGCUGUGUGUUCAGAGUGGCUAGCCAAUUGAAUACAAGUACUCUCCAGAUCUGGGCUUGAAGAGUCUCUAUAUGAUCGUCCAUUCUGUUUGUCUGUCAUAUUGCUG